CCCAUAUCUUCCUGCUCCGGGCUUCAGCACAGCCAGGCCAGCCUCCUACUGAAUGUCCUCUGCCCUCACAAGUCUGUCUCCUGGGUCUUUUCAGAUUUUCAGAAGAGCCGUUUGGAGCCCUUUAGAGUUAUGGUUUUGUGUAUGCGACAUGAAAUGGUAAUGCCAGCUGUCUCGGCACGUUGAAGGGAGGAGAACAAAAAUUGAGCAGGCUAUCUUGUCUCAUUUGCCUGGUCCGUCAUCACAAAGCCAACGAGUUGUUUAGUUACAAGCUCUCAGAAGGACCGUAAUAAGCGUGUUUGGUCCGUAGGCAGCAGGGUGCAGGCUGCCCGAGUCCCCCUCCUGUGUUAGAUGGAUGAUGCUGGUGGCGAGUGGACACACGCACCCUGCCUGAAUAUGAACAUCAGAUUUGUCAGCGUGUGACAGGCUGACAGCCCAGCUCCCAGCUGCUUGUCCACUGUGGUUAUAUCAGCACCUUGUCUGAGCCUUCAGCGAAGAGGCAGUCUGCUCCCUCCAUUCAUGGGAGGCAGGUUGCACUUAAAAAAAAAAAAGGAAGAAAAACCUAGUUCUGGCUUCAGGCUGCGUGUGCCACAACACAUUGAAAGGAGAUGAUUUAAACCUCUCUGUGCUCUUCCAGCCACACAUGGUCGGCCCUAGAAGUCCUGCCCUCCAGGUCUAAAAUCUGUUGAUUCAAAUGAGCAUGCCUUCUUGAAAGUCUAAAUCCACCAUAUUACCUCCCAAGAGACUAUGGUUGGGUACCCGCUGUAUGUGCAAAAGCUCCUUCUCCCAGAUGCAUAUGAACAUUGACCUCGGUCUGGCACGGGCUUUGUACUUCACACUCCAGGGUCUAUGAAAACACAGCGGAGGCCAGGGGAGCCACCAAGGGUCAGAACCAAGGCAGGCACGGUCGGGAUCCCCACACGAGCUGCAGAUGCCCAGUAACAAGUUUUCCUUGACUGCUGACGACUGAAUGCUGUUUUUCCUGUUCACAUUAUUUUCAAUUGGAUGCACUCUUUAGAGGUUUGUUUAUAUUUAUGCGUGUGCAUGUGCGUCUGUGUGUAUGUAUGUGCACCCAUGUUGGGAUGCUACCAGAGGCCACAAGAGGGAGUCAGAUGCCCUGGAGCUGGAGCCAUGGGCCUUUGUGAGCUGCCCGACAUGGGUGCUGGGAAUCAAGUUUGGGUGCCCUACAAGACUGCAAGCUCCAGCCCUGAAUGUAUUUUUAAAAACCUAAUCUCAUCCAGAGUCAUAGACACUUACUGCUGAAGGCAUGUACUCCUGUGGCUAGGAAAUUAGAGAACUUACUAAAUGUAUCUGUUGGCUGGAAAGUAAAAAAAAAAAAAAAAAAAAAAAAAGAGUUAACACCUCACUCAACCCUUCAGGCAGGAGUACACAAAGGGUUCCCCACUUCUUGAACCGCAAGAGGUACCUAGGUGCAAGGGCCUCCUUGUGCUAGAUGUGCGGCUUCAGUCAGUCCCUAGACCCUUCUAAGGUAGUUACUGUCAUCCCAGCACUCAGCAAAGGACUGGAAGAUUAGACCACACCCGCACAGCGUCAGGGACACACAUAGAGGUCACCGGGAAGAAUCGUAUGGCCUGUGUCUUCUGCAUCAUGUCAGAACAUAUCGUAGUGGCCGUGAGGAAACCUGUCACUCCCUAAGGAGUGGCUCCAGUCCCACCUAAGCAUGCAAUCUUCCCUGACUUUCUUAUUUUUAAAAAGUGUCUUUUGUUUCACAGGUGAUAAUUUACACACCUUUUCAUCACUGUCUCAUUAGAGCUGGGCAGCCUGUUGUCAUGGGCCACAGAGGGAAACUUCUCUUCCUGCUUCUCCAUAAAAUGAAGACACAUCUUAACCGUGAUGGUGUCUGUCUGAAACUCAAUGAAAUGAGGACCACACUCCUUUGCUACUUAGCAAUCUGGACAUGUCCCACAGUGUGGAUACAUGGCAGUAACAGUUCAUGUACAUUAAAUACCCAUGUGCUCCCCUACUGUGGGGAGAGUCUCUGUGACUCAGUGAGCCCGAGUGAUGGA